CCUACGGGAUGCAGCAGUAGGGAAUUUUCGGCAAUGGUGGGAACCCUGACCGAGCAACGCCGCGUGAAGGAAGAAGGAAUUCGUUCUGUAAACUUCUGUUAUAAAGGAAGAAAGACGGAUGGAGGAACUGACAUCGGAGUGACGGGACUAUAUGAGAAAGCCACGGCUAACUACGUGCCAGCAGCCGCGGUAAUACGUAGGUGGCAAGCGUGAUCCGGAAUUAUUGGGGGGAAAGAUAGAGCAGGCGGCAGCAAAGGUCUGCGGUCAAAGACUGAAGCUUAACUUCAGUAAGCCAUAGAAACCGGGAAGCUAGAGUGCACGAGAGGAACGUGGAAUGCGGGGUGUAGCGGUGAAAUGCGUAGAUAUAUGGAGGAACACCAGUGGCGAAGGCGACGAUCUGGCCUGCAACUGACGCUCAAUCACGAAAGCGUGGGGAGCGAAUAGGAUUAGAUACCCCAGUAGUC
rnacentral:rRNA from 1 species